AGCAGCCGCGGUAAUUCCAGCUCCAAUAGCGUAUAUUAAAGUUGUUGCAGUUAAAAAGCUCGUAGUUGAAUUUCGAGAUCAAAUUGUUGGUCGUGCCUUGGUACGCACUGGCAUUAUUGGUUUCUCCCUUCUGACGAAUCAUGAUGUCAUUAAUUUGGUGUCUUGGGGAAUCAGGACUGUUACUUUGAAAAAUUAGAGUGUUUAAAGCAGGCUUACGCUUGAAUACAUUAGCAUGGAAUAAUGAAAUAGGACGUUUGAUUCUAUUUUGUUGGUUUCUAGGAUCGACGUAAUGAUUAAUAGGGAUAGUUGGGGGCAUUAGUAUUCAAUUGUCAGAGGUGAAAUUCUUGGAUUUAUUGAAGACUAACUACUGCGAAAGCAUUUGCCAAGGAUGUUUUCAUUAAUCAAGAACGAAAGUUAGGGGAUCGAAGACGAUCAGAUACCGUCGUAGUCUUAACCAUAAACUAUGCCGACUAGGGAUCGGAUGAUGUUAAUUUUUAAUGACUCAUUCGGCCG
rnacentral:misc_RNA from 1 species